UACGUAGGGUGCAAGCGUUAUCCGGAAUUAUUGGGCGUAAAGAGCUCGUAGGCGGUCUGUCGCGUCUGCUGUGAAAACCCGAGGCUCAACCUCGGGCCUGCAGUGGGUACGGGCAGACUAGAGUGCGGUAGGGGAGAUUGGAAUUCCUGGUGUAGCGGUGGAAUGCGCAGAUAUCAGGAGGAACACCGAUAGCGAAAACAGAUCUCUAAGCCGUAACUGACGCUGAGGAGCGAAAGCGUGGGGAGCGAACAGG
rnacentral:rRNA from 1 species